AACGAACGCUGGCGGCGUGCCUAACACAUGCAAGUCGAACGUGAUUGAAGAGCUUGCUCUUCAUGAAAGUGGCGCACGGGUGAGCAACGCGUAGAUAAUCUACCUGGUGAUUUGGGAUAACAGUUCGAAAGGACUGCUAAUACCGAAUAAGCCCACGGAGUCUUUGGAUUCUGCGGGAAAAGGGGGGGACCUUAUGGCCUUCCGUCAUCAGAUGAGUCUGCGUACCAUUAGCUAGUUGGUAGGGUAAAGGCCUACCAAGGCGACGAUGGUUAGCUGGUCGGAGAGGAAGAUCAGCCACACUGGAACUGAGACACGGUCCAGACUCCUACGGGAGGCAGCAGUGGGGAAUUUUGCGCAAUGGGGGAAACCCUGACGCAGCAACGCCGCGUGAGUGAUGAAGGCCCUUGGGUCGUAAAGCUCUGACAGAGGGAAAGAAGUGUAUGGUGGUUAAUACCCAUUGUACUUGACGGUACCCUCAAAGGAAGCACCGGCUAACUCCGUGCCAGCAGCCGCGGUAACAC
rnacentral:rRNA from 1 species